UCUUGGUUUCUCUUGUUGUAAGAUCUGAAUCAGAACGUGUUCCAAGCACUUUGUAUUAGUUUAGUUUUAGCAUUCACACGUUCUUGUUUCUCUUGUUGUCAGAUCUGAAUCAGAACGUGU